rnacentral:rRNA from 1 species
GUAGGGAAUAUUGGGCAAUGGAUGCAAGUCUGACCCAGCCAUCCCGCGUGCCGGAAGAAGGCCCUCAGGGUUGUAAACGGCUUUUGACGGUGAAGAAUCGACAGGAUGCGUCCUGUUUUGACGGUAGCCGUUGAAUAAGCACCGGCUAACUCCGUGCCAGCAGCCGCGGUAAUACGGAGGGUGCGAGCGUUGUCCGGAUUUAUUGGGUUUAAAGGGUGCGUAGUCUGGUAGGUCAGUCAGCGGUGAAAAGCUGUCGCUUAACGAUCGUCUUGCCGCAGAUACUUCCUUUCUUGGAUGAGGAGGAGGCCACUGGAACGGAUGGUGUAGCGGUGAAAUGCAUAGAUAUCAUCCAGAACACCGAUUGCGAAGGCAGGUGGCUGUACCUUAAUCGACGCUGAUGCACGAAAGCAUGGGGAGCAAACAGGAUUAGAAACCCGGGUAGUCC